GUGCUCACUUCGGCAGCACAUAUACUAAAAUGGAACAAUACAGAGAAGAUUAGCAUGGCCCUGGCACAAGGAUGACAUGGAAAUUCAUGAAGCAUUCCAUAUUUUU
rnacentral:snRNA from 1 species